GAUGAACGCUGGCGGCGUGCCUAAUACAUGCAAGUCGAGCGAACAGACGAGGAGCUUGCUCCUCUGACGUUAGCGGCGGACGGGUGAGUAACACGUGGAUAACCUACCUAUAAGACUGGGAUAACUUCGGGAAACCGGAGCUAAUACCGGAUAAUAUAUUGAACCGCAUGGUUCAAUAGUGAAAGAUGGUUUUGCUGUCACUUAUAGAUGGAUCCGCGCCGCAUUAGCUAGUUGGUAAGGUAACGGCUUACCAAGGCAACGAUGCGUAGCCGACCUGAGAGGGUGAUCGGCCACACUGGAACUGAGACACGGUCCAGACUCCUACGGGAGGCAGCAGUAGGGAAUCUUCCGCAAUGGGCGAAAGCUUGACGGAGCAACGCCGCGUGAGUGAUGAAGGUCUGCGGAUCGUAAAACUCUGUUAUUAGGGAAGAACAAAUGUGUAAGUAACUAUGCACGUCUUGACGGUACCUAAUCAGAAAGCCACGGCUAACUACGU
rnacentral:rRNA from 1 species